rnacentral:rRNA from 1 species
AGAUGGCGACCGGCGCACGGGUGAGUAACGCGUAUCCAACCUGCCGAUAACUCGGGGAUAGCCUUUCGAAAGAAAGAUUAAUACCCGAUGGUAUAAUCAGACCGCAUGGUCUUGUUAUUAAAGAAUUUCGGUUAUCGAUGGGGAUGCGUUCCAUUAGGCAGUUGGUGAGGUAACGGCUCACCAAACCUUCGAUGGAUAGGGGUUCUGAGAGGAAGGCCCCCCACAUUGGAACUGAGACACGGUCCAA